GUCAUUCCGAUCUACUCUAUAAAGAUCGGGGCCUGUGGGUAGGUUUGGGUGGGAGAGAUGGAUGGACAAGGUCAUUCCGAUCUACUCUAUAAAGAUCGGGGCCUGUGGGUAGGUUUGGGUGGGAGAGAUGGAUAGACAAGGUCAUUCCGAUCUACUCUAUAAAGAUCGGGGCCUGCGGGUAGGUUUGGGUGGGAGGGAUGGAUGGACAAGGUCAUUCCGAUCUACUCUAUAAAGAUCGGGGCCUGUGGGUAGGUUUGGGUGGGAGGGAUGGAUGGACGGACAAGGUCAUUCCGAUCUACUCUAUAAGGAUCGAUGAUGUCCCAGUAUGCUUGUAAUGGAUUCCUCUAGUUGGUUAAAAAGAUUUGUCAGUAGGGUUUUAUUAUUAUAUAAUGUAAUAUUUUCCGUGGCGAGAUGAUUGCUUGGUUUUAUGUUGAUCUGCUAGCCAGGAAUUCCGCCAUGUCUAUCUACAUGUUCCCGGAGACAGUGGUGCGGGGACUCGGUGGUAUUGGCUCCUUCACAGGGAAAGCUUCUUCUUCCAUUAAUAUUUCAUGAAUUGAUGAUGUUGAGAUCGGAUUAAAACGUGUAAUUUUAGUUUACCUACAAUAGCAGAUAUAGAUCGCAGCCGUAGUAGGGAUAUAUAUACAAACCUCACUUUGGUUACCGGGCUAACUGUUCGCAGGUCAAGCUUGACAGUGUAGAUUCCGCAGUGGAAGGCAAGAUGUUCCAGGAAGUUAACAUUAUGUAUGUAGUAACUGGACAGCUACCGUGGCUAAGUUGUAAUUGUUUUCAGUUAGGAGGCAGAGAUAAGGAUAUAGUGUGGAAAUCUGCCCCAAUACCGCUGCAUAAAAUGAAUAAUGAUCUGAGGAAUAUCCCUCGGCGUCUGCCUAUAGCUGUCCCGAGCUCCUUGCGCACUCCCCAAAUAUAAGUGGUGAAGUGUGGGUAAAUGAGGACGAUUAGUAUCCAAUGUUGUCACUUAAGCCAGCAAGUCAGGAUAUGUCAGAGCCCAGUGCCUGGUUGCUAAGGAGAUUGAAUGUUAAAUAUUGCAAAUUUCAUUUCUCAGGUCCCCCAUGCACCGUAUCUGUGUAUUGUAAUUACUAAGAGGAACUAAAUAUUGUAUUGCUUUCAAACGGGGGGAAAAAACUCCAUGCUUUCUUUAAUAUGGGGACAUUCUGCUUGUUUCUGACGAGAAUCUAAUUUAGAUUCUGCUCAUCUCUUGGAUAAUGGGAGGUCUGUAUGUAGAUGUCAUUGCUGUGAAGGUCUGGUGCUACAAAACUUAUUGUGGGGCACAUCAGGCCACGCACAAGUGUGCAAAUCAUCCCUCUAAAUGAGCUACGCAGCCUGACGAUGAGACGAGGACAAAAACAGCUUCGGUAAUGGCCAGUGAUGAUGAUCGCGCGGUACUGUAACAAAAGGCUGUCGCCACGGCCAUGGCCCGGCCUGGUCCUCAUAAUCUGAUAGAGAACAAACGUAAUUUGUUUUGAUACCAAGUCGCUGUAGGUGUAAUUCCUCAUUGGGCAAGAUGUAAAAACAUAAUCAUCAAUAUAUGUUAUGCUUUCUCAUCUGACCGCUGCUUAUGAAGGACUCGGGCAGGUUGCUAUGGGGUACUCCCAAGACGAUCGCUAUGGUGAUGACUUACCCUAGCCCCAACGUUGGGGUCCGCGUCUUUUUGCGAUAUUUGCCAUUUGCUUUCAUUCCACUUUCGCAGCUAAUCAAAUUUCUCACGACCAUAUAAAGAAAUUCCAUCAUAACAGAAAAUUGUCAUGUAAUGAAUACCAAUCGUAUUGUGGAUCACAACCCCUCGGUGCAUGAACUUGUUUCAGUAUAUUGUAUUUUAUAAUGAAAUUCAUUUGCCUCGGUAAAUUCGUUUGGAUUAUAUUUUUUCAUCACUGAUAGCAAAGGUUGUAGAUUUAUCCUGUUAAAUUAUUGGUUGCUAAAAGAAAAACUGAAGCCAUGCUCAAUUUGUUUAGUGUUAUUAUAGUUUUCGUUACUGAUGAGGACAUCAGUAAAUUCAGCACAAUAAAUUGGUGCUCGAAGGAAAAUGACAAGUGUCGAAGAGUGUGGGUUUGCAUAGCUUUGUCCUGAGGGCCUCACUGCCAAACGGUGGGGAAACGUAUGUUGUCACUAAAUGUGCCCUAAAAGGCUAAUUUGACGUCUGCUUCAGUGCUCUGGCCCCUGGUGGGGGGUCUUUGUUUGGCGUGGGCAUGAUUAGAGGUGCUUGUCGAGCUAGCUACUGGGGUGGAUGGGUAGAUAGUCGUGGAUAAUCCAACCCAAACACGCCUUAAGCUUGGAGUAUUGUGGCCGUUUCAUGCUUUAUUUGGCGAUGUUUUAAUUGUGUUUCUGCUUUCUUCCAUCACGGCUCUUCUCUUGUUAGAAGCUAGACGCAAUGUUGUAAUGGUGUAGGCAUUUAUAGAUUUCAUUAAAUUUGUCCAUACAGCCUCAAUUUGACAAUGAGUUAAGAUAAGGUUUGGUACGCCUUGUUGCUGCUCUUUUUACACAUGACAGAAACCUGCGAAUAUGAUGAUUUGUUGCUCGACAGAUAAAAUUCUAUCAGAUGAUUAGGAUGCAGAAAAUUGCUUCUUUUUAUCGUCCUACAAUACACAUGGCUGUCGGUCCGGUCCGCUGUUUUGUCGUCUUCUGCUGAGGUUGGUAAUUAUCGUUAUAAUUUACCUAAUAUACCGAAAUCGCAUGUCAAGCCCGAGUCUGAAUUUUUUGUCGUGAAGUUUUUGCUCUCUGCUCUAUUUCUACCUGUCACUAUACUAUUUUCGUUUCACAAUUUUGUUUUGUUUAUUUUCAUGCUUGAGUUGCAUGUUGAUAAUAUACCUGUGUUCUCAAUUAUCGUCAGGUGGACGGGUUGCGGUAACAGAUAUGUUAGGAGAGUAGGGCACAGUUUUUGUUAGUUCCAAGUUUCGAGUAUAGAAUGAGGCCCCGGAAGUAUUUGUUGUCAGUUGCAGGUUGAUGGUUUGUUUUUAUGGGCCAAAGGGUUCCCCUAUUUGAGAUCAUAUUAAGCAAGGCCAUGUAUUUUUGUUUUCAUCGUUUUUAAACACAUUUUGAUCGGCAGGUUGAGAGAUUUUGUGGUGGUCUAUGGUCUGUAAUAAUCUUUGACAAUUUUAAUCCGUCUAAUCUCUAUAUGUAAUUUAUUAAUAUCCCAAGUCCAAAUGAAGUUCAUUAUUCAUGUAAGAAAAUAUAAUUAUUGGUCAUUCUAUUAGAGGGAGGAUAUACAAUAAGUAGCCAACCCUUAGGUUUAAUAUCAAUUCUUAAAAUCCUUGGUUACAAUAUUCCUACCUUCCUUGUAGUCUGAUGGAGGUUAGUCACAAAGUGAAUAAAAAGAUUUUCUGCACAUUUGGGUAGAUAUACAGUGUGACACUAGGGGCCAGACUGUCUGCUUCUCCAGGUUUAGGGGUUUGUGAGGUUGGUUUAGUCAGGGCACCUGGGUCGAAGGUGACCAGAGUUUAUAUUACAAUCAUUCAUGUAAGCCCAGUCAACCUAACCCUGCCACACGCUGGCAAUCCGUUUUUGUCACCAAAACUUGGGGAGACACAAAUUUGAAUUUUUAAGAUGGAAAGUACACAACGGGCCUCGGUGACUGUGUAGACAAACUAGUUUGUUUAGCUGUCGUAAUAACGUCCUUCAUACCCCCAUUAUAGUGCAGUCAUUUUCUCAAACGGCAGUUUUAGCUUACAGCCAGAAGCUGAGGGGUUGUAAUUAGAGGAACUGCUUUAUCCAGAAGACAAAACCUAUGAUUUUAGUUGUAGCAGAAGAAAAUUAUAUAACUACAUAGCUAUGUCUUUGCUUUUCUUUAUAAUAUUGUUAAAAGCCGGGAUUAUUAUGUGUGUUUAUACAGUCCAACAGAAAAAAAUAAACAUUUCAAAUUUAAGGCUAGGCAGCUAUAUUAUAUAUUUUUAGAAAAGCUCGAGUUUUGUCCAGAAAUUUCUGCAUUAUCUUCAGACCUCUGAUAAACAGAAGAAAAUCAUAAAAUAAACGUUGAUAAUAAAAACUUUGCACAUUUAAGGAGUCCAUAUUGAUUUUUUCCUAACAUGCAGUAGCAUCUUUGGAGAUCUGCAUGUUAAAUAUAGGCAUACCAGGCCAUUCAUUCACAGCGCUAGGACGGAAAGCCAGCGGGGAAAAGUGAAUUGCCGAUUGCCCCGAAUGACAGGAAAAUCCACAUUCAAAACAACACUGAUUACAAGUGUAUUGUUCCUCAUAAACGCAAUCGCCCACUUAAGCCCUUCUCACGUCACUCUGUCACGGCCAGCUGACGAUCAGCUGAUGGGCCAGGCGAUGGUAGUGUCGGCACAAUCACAAGUCGUCGUGCACCGGGAGGCAACACUCAUACACUGGGGCCCCACUCGGGGCCCACCAGGCCCCACUCGGGGCUUGCCUGGCAACACUGUAGGCUUGCGUCAACACUGGGGCUCAUCAACCCAAUAACACUGGAGGCGACCCCGAAACAAUACAGCAUUCCUCACUACUUUGUCCUCCUCUAUCACCUCCUCAUCCUCUUGUCCUCAUACUAACGACCGGAGAUAAGCUUGGAGACUGUUCACCACUCUGAAAUAAUAAAGGAUCCCAGCAGACCAUUUUCAGAAUAAGUGCACUUGACUUCUCCUAUCUGCUGAUGAAUCUCUCAGUUUUUAAUUUUUCACCUCUCAAUCUUGACUUUUUGUAAAACCCUUUGAAAUUCACAGCAUGUUUCUCAAAAUUAAACAAAUUAGUAUUUUUGAUAUUUUAUUACACUACUACUAAUAAUGUUGAUUGCUCUGUUUUCUUGCCACAGUGUCUGUAUGUUAUAAUGAAUAUGUGACUACAAUUUUGACACAGGUGAAAGGAUUCGACUGGACUCAAGACAUUAUUUUUAAAAUUGACUGACUGAAAUUGUGAGAUUGUCAUGGAAACGUCAAUAAUUGCAAGAAUCAGUUUCACUAUUUUGUGACUGUUGAGUUUUGAAGGAAGACGGAAGUAAAUGGCUAAAUUGUACUCUUAUGGGCUUUUUUCUCAGAAGUGUUUAACAGGGAGUGUGGUUUACCUGGUUUUUAUUGACCGAGAAUGUUUUAUACCUCCGGUGACUGGGGACAGAUGCAAUUGUGUCAGUGGUUUAACUUGAAAUUGUUUGAGUGGAAUAUGAUAAGACUGAGGAUGGCUUGUGUCCCCUGCCAAGGGCCAAAUGUUUUCUUCGAUGUCAUCGAUGUCGUCAUGGGGAUGCAGGGCGUAGCCAUGGAGACAGGAUAGCCUUUGGGGAGGCCAUUGUGGUUACCUGUAUGCAAAUGACAUGUGCCUUGUCUCCUGAACCAGAGGUCAAAGGUCAUGGAGUUUGGGGAGUGGUCAAGGUCAUGGAACUGAGGGGGUUUGCCAUGGCAGCAGUAAAGCGGUGGAACUGUGACGGACUGACUUGCUCCGUGUGAUUGACUGGACGUAGGUUUCGGACAGUCGAAAUUGUGUUAAAAUCGGUAUGGUGUAGAGGCGUUUAUACAAGCCGUUUAACAACAGCUAAGAGUGACCUUGGACGAGAAACCUGUGAUUUUAUAACUACAUAGAUACAUUGAAGACAUAAGUGAAUUACUUUUGAAUUUUUAAAGACGUCUCUUUGGCAGACACAGCCAUCUUGUGAUAGGGCCCCCGGGAUGGCCUUCAUCCUCAAAGUGAUGAGGGGGAAAGCCCUCAGGUCACCAGGAUCGUCGCGCCUCACUUGAUCCUGAUCCUCUUUUGUUUAUUUUUGUUUAUUUUUAUUUAACCUUUGUGUAUACUAAGUCAAUAAUUUUGUCCUCUUUAGUAACAUAACUGGUCACAAAUCCCAGAACACUCUGCCUGGUCCGAUAUCUCCCAAAACAUAGACCCACAUCACAACAUGUAGGCUACAAUUUCCAACCUGCCUGAGUUGCAUCGCCCAAUCUGGUCACAAUUUCCUAAAUCACCGUAUCAUCCACGAGGUGAGGCGUUCACUUCUCACGAACAGGAGCCUCUUUUUGUUUACUGUAGUAAAUCUUUGUUGACAUUUUAUAUACAUACUUGUAUAUACAUAUAGCUAUAUACUGAGUUUUAAAUUGGAAAGAGGAAGGAGGAUAUCAAAUUUGCCAAAAUCUAUUAUGUUGAGGUAAAGGAAAAAGGAUGACAGAGAAAUGUUUAGAUAAAAAUUAGGAUGGGGGGGGGGGGGCUGGUAAAAAAUUGUAUCUCCUGCUGAAGUGAGUUGUGGCGGGUGUCUAGUCGUAAAGACAAUCACCAGGAAAAGAGUACAACUGUACAAGUUACAUAUAUCCACACCAGCUUGAGAUCAAUUAAGAUGUGUUCCUUCCAUUUCAAUUAUCGAAUAAGGAGCCAACUGUACAUCAGCAUCGAGCUGUUUGGAAUAAUAGCCGUUAUGGCAGUCAUUGGAAAUUGUUCAAUUUAUAUAACUUGGGUCUCCCGUGAUCACUGGAGCUGGCGAGAUGGGUUUAGAUUGUGCGAUUUGACUCGGGAGUGAAGACCUGGUGCUGUGGGUCUCUCUACUCAUUGAUUAGCCAUUGAUUAAUAGAAAUAACUCCGAACACUGCCUUGUAUGGAUGAUGGGACGGCUCUUCUUUCCCUAGGCUUCACCGGGCCGGGGACCUGUGUGUGUGUGUGUGUGUGUGUGUGUGUGUGUGUGUGUGUGUAGGGACACCACCACUGGACACGCGUUCGGUGUAAAUCAGACACACAGUCACACAGCCCACUAAGUACAUGCCCCUACUAGUACAGGCCAGGUUUAUGUUUACCUGGCUUUAUUUUGCUGUUUCUGCCCGAUUACUUAUGAUAUCAUUAGAGAGGCUAUAACUGGGUCUCCACAAUACAGAAUCUGGCUCGGGUUUAUUUGAUUUGAAAUACAAUCCCGACCUCGGGCACAUUUUACUUUUGUAUGUGAUCAGAAUCUCCUUGUGCUACGUCUGUUACAAACCUUAGUGCUACACUUUUACUAGAAACACACCUGAUCCAGGCUGUCAAUGACCUUAAGGUUAUUUUGAAGAAAUACAAAAAAAUAUAUAUAUAUAAGUCUUGUUUUAAUAAUAUAUGUGGUGUCAAAAUAUUGAUAUGUCUCUUUUAUGUUACACAGGGGUAUACUUGAAGUACCUGUAAUUAUAUUGUACUCUGAGCAAUUUGUUUAUUUUCCUGAUUCCUGUUUGAGAGUUGGUGACACUCCAGCAAUAUUUUGAGUUGAGAGUAGUAACUACCUAGACAUUCCUAUGUAACUGUUAGUAGUGUACCUGUUAUCUGUAUGCCUGUCUGACGAGGCUGCAGGCGAGACAGAUUUUUUUUCUAUUUUAUUUUUUCAACUUUAUAUACUUGUCAUGAUGUGUCACUUUGGUAAAAAAAUUAAACAACUUUCAUAACAGCUAUGUUGUGAAAGAUACAUUAAACAACUUUCAUACGGAACAGCUGUGUUGUGAAAAAUACAUUGAACAAACUUCAUAUUGAACAGUUAUGAUUUGAAAGAUACAUUGAACAAAUUUCAUAUUGAACAGUUAUGAUUUGAAAGAUACAUUGAACAAAUUUCAUUUUGAACAGUUAUGAUUUGAAAGAUACAUUGAACAAAUUUCAUAUUGAACAGUUAUGAUUUGAAAGAUACAUUGAACAAAUUUCAUAUUGAACAGUUAUGAUUUGAAAGAUACAUUGAACAAAUUUCUUAUAAAUAUUGAACCUUUUUAGUUUGAAAACGCAUUGAACAUUUGGACUGCAAGUUUCAUAUUGAAAAAACACUUCAUUUAUUAUUUUUGAACUUUGCUGUACAGUAUAAUAAUUUUCACCUUGAACAAAACUUGUUGAAUAAUUUUUACAUUGGAAAAAGUUUGGACGAAUUUCUCAUGAUGAACAUCUAUUACUUGAUGUUAAACUCCUUAUUUAGUUUAAAAAAAAAAAGAUAAAGUGUCUACAUUUGAUAAUAAUAUUAAACAAUAUAAACUUUUCAAUGUCAGUUAUUUUUAUGACAUUGGCAAAAAGUUAUUUGUGUGAAGUUAGAUUGAUGAACAAUAUUUAGCAUAUAUAUGUAUCGGUUUGUGUAGCAUUCAUUAAAUUUUGUGUUAAAAUAAAAAAAAUAAAACUUUAUUGGAACAAUUUACAUUGAUCAGUGUUCAUAGUAAUGAUUCUUUUAGUGUUCAAAUCAGAGGUGCUUGUAUGUUGAGUCGUAAACUCCAUUUUUUUCUUCUUCAUUUUUCGUUUUCAUUUCCUAUUAUUAUCAGAAUUCAUUAAAUGAUGUUGGCAAGAGUGUUAGAUUUCUCAUACUUUCAUUUUUUUCUCUCGUUUUUGAGUAAUUUUUGCAACACAAUAUUUAUACAAUUGUAGAGUUGCCAGUUUUUGUGCCGGUAACCAAAUGUUUAUAUAAUUCAUUUUUCGAAUUACCGAAGUCAUACCGCAUCAUGUGUAUCAUUAUGCCUGUGUGAGUGUCCGAAUUGGCCCGUGUGCGUGUGUACAUGAUCCGGUGAGUAGAUGAGUGACCAAGGAAAUGUUAGGUAAGGAGAAACACAAUCGUGUAUUUUAUUGCAUUCCAGUUUAUAUAGAUGAUUUUUUUUCUAUAAUGUUAAGCUAUGACUUCUCAAAAAAUUUGUAUUGGAAAACGUGCCCAGGGGGUCAAAGUGAGAUACAGAAUCUCAAAAAAAAAAAAAAUCGACAUAAAUUUCAUGCUUUUUCUACAAGUUGCAUUCAUUUAUUUUUUUAAGUGAAAUAAAUUUGUUUUUAUUUGCCCACCAUCAAUUAUUUUUAAUGGCGAAAAAUUUAGCUUGAUCAGAUAGACAUUUAUUCGUAAUUUCUUGGUAAUUAUUUUACAGAAUAUGUAAAGGGCUAUGUAUGAUGUUUUACUUGAAAAAAUAGUUUGUUACAAUGUUCAUAUUGGUAAUUAUAUUAUUUUAAUUAUUUUGUCAUAUUUUAUAAAAAUAUGAAGUUUCCGUAAUGUUGUCGAUGUGUCCGUGAAAAGCAUGCACCUUGUGAAGUUCUAGUAGUCCAAUACUGUUGUCCUGACAAUUGUCCUGUUAUCAGUAAAUGUCUUGAAAAGAUUCCUUUUUUUUUUUUAUUCUUUUUGAAAAUGAACAGGAAAUCCUACGUGUCAUAUUUUUGUUAGAAACGAUAAGCGAUAAGAAUGGGGAGAAAAAAGCAUUCUUACUGUGAUUUACAUUAUACCUCUUUUAUUUAUUUCUGAGUUUUUCUUAUUACGAUAAAAGUCCAGCUUGAGUGUAGGUCAUCACUUAAGUUUUUUUAUUCACAAGUACUAGAUGAUAGAAAACCUGAGGAUUGGUUUCUUUAAUGGUGUAGCUUCAUUCACCCACAAAUGGUGCCAUAUUAAUUGUAUCGUGUAAGAGAUUCUAUUUUGAAGAUUAUUGAAUGGGAGCGAGAGUAAGAAUACGAGAGGGAAGUUGGUACUCUAUAUAACAACUGUAUCAUAUGUCACUAAUAUCAAUAAAAAAAAUGUUAUCAACAGCG
rnacentral:lncRNA from 1 species